UCACGUGCUACAAUGGCAUAUACAAUGAGACGCAAUACCGCGAGGUGGAGCAAAUCUAUAAAAUAUGUCCCAGUUCGGAUUAUUCUCUGCAACUCGAGAGCAUGAAGCC
rnacentral:rRNA from 1 species